AUCAAAGAAAGAAACGAUUCCUCUUCUUAAACUGAGCAAAGAAAGAAACGAAAGUAGGAUCAACCUGCGGAGUCCUUUCUUUCUAGAAAACACGGAAUGAUGCAGCCAUUUAAUCAUAGAACAGAACGAUAUUAUUUUCUUAGUGUCCUUUAACAAUUCUUUGCACACAUAAAUUGAAAUAUUGUUUGUACUUGUUGUUGUCCUAGUUCUCUUUAGUGUUACAUUUGAGGAUGUAAAUGUAACCAACAUUUUCAUUCUUGCAGAAGCUGAAGCUUGUGGUAAUGAAACAAAUGAGUCUCUUGAUGCCAAAGCUAACAGCGCGUUGGAAUGCCCUUACAUAGCUGACUUGCGUAGAGUUUUUCUUAGUUCUUUGAGGUUUCAAGGAUCAAUUUGUGCAGUUGAUCUAAGACAGUAGAAUCUGCAAGUGUUGAGGUGCUACAAAUGCUCCAAUCUAGAAAUGCAAUAACAAAAUAUUUCACCCUUUAAUCACUCAAUCAUAUUAUAUGGCUUCAUAACAAUGUUUG